rnacentral:rRNA from 1 species
AGAGUUUGAUCAUGGCUCAGGAUGAACGCUGGCGGCGUGCCUAACACAUGCAAGUCGAGCGAUCUUCUUCGGAAGAGAGCGGCGGACGGGUGAGUAACGCGUGGGUAACCUGCCCUGUACACACGGAUAACAUACCGAAAGGUAUGCUAAUACGAGAUAAUAUGCUUUUAUCGCAUGGUAGAAGUAUCAAAGCUUUUGCGGUACAGGAUGGACCCGCGUCUGAUUAGCUAGUUGGUAAGGUAACGGCUUACCAAGGCGACGAUCAGUAGCCGACCUGAGAGGGUGAUCGGCCACAUUGGAACUGAGACACGGUCCAAACUCCUACGGGAGGCAGCAGUGGGGAAUAUUGCACAAUGGGCGAAAGCCUGAUGCAGCAACGCCGCGUGAGCGAUGAAGGCCUUCGGGUCGUAAAGCUCUGUCCUCAAGGAAGAUAAUGACGGUACUUGAGGAGGAAGCCCCGGCUAACUACGUGCCAGCAGCCGCGGUAAUACGUAGGGGGCUAGCGUUAUCCGGAAUUACUGGGCGUGAAGGGUGCGUAGGUGGUUUCUUAAGUCAGAGGUGAAAGGCUACGGCUCAACCGUAGUAAGCCUUUGAAACUGGGAAACUUGAGUGCAGGAGAGGAGAGUGGAAUUCCUAGUGUAGCGGUGAAAUGCGUAGAUAUUAGGAGGAACACCAGUUGCGAAGGCGGCUCUCUGGACUGUAACUGACACUGAGGCACGAAAGCGUGGGGAGCAAACAGGAUUAGAUACCCUGGUAGUCCACGCCGUAAACGAUGAGUACUAGCUGUCGGAGGUUACCCCCUUCGGUGGCGCAGCUAACGCAUUAAGUACUCCGCCUGGGAAGUACGCUCGCAAGAGUGAAACUCAAAGGAAUUGACGG